rnacentral:piRNA from 1 species
CCAGGCUGGGAAAUUUGAGACUAA